AAAUAACUAGGCAGCCAUAAAUAAUUGACAUUUUCUAAGUGAUGAUAUAUUAGUAGGAAUCUCAUUGAGUAUCACUCUGUGUUAUUAUGAAAACAUAUUUUUUAACUGAUUAAAUUCAAUAUUUCUAAACUUUAUUUUUCGUAACAUUUAUUUAACUCGCUCCUGUUUUAUUUCAGGCUCAUGGGGGAAAUGUAACUUUGCGUUAAUAUCCAGUGGAAUAAAAGGCAGUAGAGUAGACUAAUCGGCUUCUGGGCAUUGAAGGUAAUCGAAAUCGGGCAAUACAUGGAUGAUGGUCAUAUAAAUUGUUAUAGUUUUAGGUUUAUUUAUAGACUAUAGAUAACUAAAAAAAUAUUAAUAAAGAAUUGACAAAUUUCCAAAAAAAAAAA